GGUGAACGCUGGCGGUAGGCCUAACACAUGCAAGUCGAACGGCAGCACAGUAAGAGUUUGCUCUUACGGGUGGCGGGUGGCGGGCGGGUGAGGAAUACAUCGGAAUCUUCUUUUUCGUGGGGGAUAACGUAGGGACAGUUACGCUACUACCGCAUACGAUCUACGGGUGAAAGCAGGGGAUCUUCGCACCUUUCGCGAUUCAAUUAGCCGAUGUCGGAUUAGCUAGUUGGCGGGGUAAUGGCCCACCAAGGCGACGAUCCGUAGCUGGUCUGAGAGGAUGAUCAGCCACACAGGAACUGAGACACGGUCCAGACUCCUACGGGAGGCAGCAGUGGGGAAUAUUGGACAAUGGGCGCAAGCCUGAUCCAGCCAUACCGCGUGGGUGAAGAAGGCCUUCGGGUCGUAAAGCCCUUUUGUUGGGAAAGAAAAGCAGCAGGUUAAUACCCCGCUGUUCUGACGGUACCCAAAGAAUAAGCACCGGCUAACUUCGUG
rnacentral:rRNA from 1 species